AGUAUCAUAGCCAAUGAGGUUAACCCGAGGCGUGAUUAUUGCUAGUUGAAAACUUUGAUCUCUAGC
rnacentral:snRNA from 1 species